rnacentral:rRNA from 1 species
CCUACGGGUGGCUGCAGUGGGGAAUAUUGGACAAUGGGCGAAAGCCUGAUCCAGCCAUGCCGCGUGUGUGAAGAAGGCCUUCGGGUUGUAAAGCACUUUCAGUGGGGAAGAAAGCCUUGGGGCUAAUACCCUCGAGGAAGGACAUCACCCACAGAAGAAGCACCGGCUAACUCCGUGCCAGCAGCCGCGGUAAUACGGAGGGUGCGAGCGUUAAUCGGAAUUACUGGGCGUAAAGCGCGCGUAGGCGGUCUGAUAAGCCGGUUGUGAAAGCCCCGGGCUCAACCUGGGAACGGCAUCCGGAACUGUCAGGCUAGAGUGCAGGAGAGGUAGGUAGAAUGCCCGGUGUAGCGGUGAAAUGCGUAGAGAUCGGGAGGAAUACCAGUGGCGAAGGCGGCCUUCUGGACUGACACUGACGCUGAGGUGCGAAAGCGUGGGUAGCAAACAGGAUUAGAUACCCCUGUAGUC